rnacentral:misc_RNA from 1 species
UCACUGCUUGCGCAGGCGCCUACAUCCAGGAUGUCAUGCCUGGGUAAGGUUCUUCGCUUUGCAUCGAAUUAAGCAACGCGCUCCGCCGCUUGUGCGGGCCCCCGUCAAUUCCUUUGAGUUUUAGCCUUGCGGCCGUACUCCCCAGGCGGCGAACUUAAUGCGUUAGCUUCGGCACGGAGGCCAUGACAGCCCCCACACCUAGUUCGCACCGUUUACGGCUAGGACUAC